rnacentral:rRNA from 1 species
CCUACGGGAGCAGCAGUGGGGAAUUUUGGACAAUGGGCGCAAGCCUGAUCCAGCCAUUCCGCGUGAGUGAAGAAGGCCUUCGGGUUGUAAAGCUCUUUCGCAAGGGAAGAAAACUUAUCCUCUAACAUAGGAUGAGGUUGACGGUACCUUGAUAAGAAGCACCGGCUAACUACGUGCCAGCAGCCGCGGUAAUACGUAGGGUGCGAGCGUUAAUCGGAAUUACUGGGCGUAAAGCGUGCGCAGGCGGUUUUGUAAGUCAGAUGUGAAAUCCCUGAGCUCAACUUGGGAACUGCGUUUGAAACUGCAAGACUAGAAUAUGUCAGAGGGGGGUAGAAUUCCACGUGUAGCAGUGAAAUGCGUAGAGAUGUGGAGGAAUACCAAUGGCGAAGGCAGCCCCCUGGGAUAAUAUUGACGCUCAUGCACGAAAGCGUGGGGAGCAAACAGGAUUAGAUACCCCCUGGUAGA